AUCCUGACAAAAAAACAAAAACUCUCCUUUCAAGUCCAAACAAACAACGUCGUGGGAAGAAAGAUGCUUAUAUCUCCACUUAAUCUUUUAUUGCUAAUCCAUGAUAUUAUCAUCCGGAUCUUUCAGUCUCUCAAUAACAAAAAACCAAAUUUUAUUACAACAAACAAACAUCUCAUUUUAUCCACUGAAGAACUGAACCUAGACCAUUUGCUGAGUAAAAUGUACACCUCUCUAACUUCAAUUUGGAUGGCUAUUUCUUCUAAAUGGAAAAGACACCUCGUUCCUCCUGGGAUGAUUCUAAUUGCAGAUGUAAUUUCAAUUGCUCGCUGAAAGCAACGAAAAAAACAGCAUCCAUCCAUAAUCUUACACUAAAACCCAACAUUUGGGAAAUCUUUGUGGCAUCCUACCCAUGAUUCAGACCAAUCACCAACUCAACUGUCCGUGGGCCUGAUAUCAACCAAGCCCAAAACAGAAAGGGAGAAACACUAAAGCAAACCCGAAGCUAUUACGCGAAGUCCACAUUUUCCUCACCAUCCUCUGUCUGGCCCUCCGCC
rnacentral:misc_RNA from 1 species